rnacentral:rRNA from 1 species
GACGAACGCUGGCGGCGUGCUUAACACAUGCAAGUCGAACGGAAAGGCCCUGCUUUUGUGGGGUGCUCGAGUGGCGAACGGGUGAGUAACACGUGAGUAACCUGCCCUUGACUUUGGGAUAACUUCAGGAAACUGGGGCUAAUACCGGAUAGGAGCUCCUGCUGCAUGGUGGGGGUUGGAAGGUUUCGGCGGUUGGGGAUGGACUCGCGGCUUAUCAGCUUGUUGGUGGGGUAGUGGCUUACCAAGGCUUUGACGGGUAGCCGGCCUGAGGGGGUGACCGGCCACAUUGGAACUGAGAUACGGCCCAGACUCCUACGGGAGGCAGCAGUGGGGAAUAUUGCACAAGGGACGGAGGCCUAAUGCAGCAACGCCGCGUGCGGAAUGACGGCCUUCGGGUUGUAAACCGCUUUCGCCUGUGACGAAGCGUGAGUGACGGUAAUGGGUAAAGAAGCACCGGCUAACUACGUG